rnacentral:rRNA from 1 species
CCUACGGGAGGCAGCAGUGAGGAAUCUUGGUCAAUGGGCGCGAGCCUGAACCAGCCAAGUAGCGUGAAGGAUGACUGCCCUACGGGUUGUAAACUUCUUUUAUAAAGGAAUGAAGUGAGGCACGUGUGCCUUUUUGUAUGUACUUUAUGUAUAAGGAUCGGCUAACUCCGUGCCAGCAGCCGCGGUAAUACGGAGGAUCCGAGCGUUAUCCGGAUUUAUUGGGUUUAAAGGGAGCGUAGAUGGGUUGUUAAGUUAGUUGUGAAAGUUUGCGGCUCAACCGUAAAAUUGCAAUUGAUACUGGCAGCCUUGAGUACAGUUGAGGUAGGCGGAAUUCGUUGUGUAGCGGUGAAAUGCUUAGAGAUCACGAAGAACUCCGAUUGCGAAGGCAGCUUACUAAACUGCCACUGACAUUGAUGCGCGAAAGUGUGGGUAUCAAACAGGAUUAGAUACCCUAGUAGUC